AAAAUUCUGCAAAGGACAGUGAAUGGCUCAGUUGCAGACUGGUCUAGCAGUUGAUCCCAGCUGGUGGCUGGGGAACUGUUCAGCUGGAAUGCACACUCAGGGCAUCCCCAUGUGGCCGGGACUUCCUCCCAACAUGGCGGCUGGCGUCUGAGGAAUCGAAGGCAGGAGCAUGUGUCACUGGAGUCCAGCCACCAUAAAUGUCAACAUGAGGAUUAAAGACCAGCUACGGCGUUCAGCUUCAGCCAGGGGCCAGCACAGCACUCACCGCCACAGGCUCUCAGGGGCUGUGAAUGGAAUCAAGGAAUCGCCAGCCUAAUCCAUUUUCUUUAUAUCAGUCUGG